CCCCCCCUUUUUUUUUUUUUUUUUGGCUUCCUCUUCUUCCCCAUUUUUUUUGCAGGGAACAGAAAAUGAUGACCACGGUACAGUGUCUACACCUUGGGAUCUUGAGGCUUCAAGCUCUUGUAUUAAGGGUGGCUGAGCCAGACGGCAAGGGGGCUGAAUCCCUCACGACGGGAUGGGACCACCAUUGCAGAGCAUGAGGUACUCAUUCCUGAUUAACGACCUCAGCAAGUGGGUAAUGAUUAUUCAUCGGCCUCUUUAGGAACUUUAAUCGUGUGGAGGACUUUCUAGACUUCAGAUGGACUACUCUAGAUAGAGGCAUAGAAACAGUAAUCAAGUAACAAAGCGAAAACUACUCAACUUAAAUGCCUAUCAGAUUAUACCCUUUCUAAUAUUUUUGGCAUGAAAAUGAUCUAUCUCUUAUGAAGCAAUCUUAACGU